AGGAUUCAGACAAGAAUUGUCCAACAUUUGACGUUUCAACAAUAUCUGAAGGACUCACGCACUGUUUUUACAACCCAAAAGUCGUGAACUUUGAUAAUGGAAAAGAAACAGAAUUGAUUCUAAAUCAAAAUCAACUCACAAAACUUCAACACG